CUGGCGGCGUGCCUAAUACAUGCAAGUCGUACGCUUCUUUUUCCACCGGAGCUUGCUCCACCGGAAAAAGAAGAGUGGCGAACGGGUGAGUAACACGUGGGUAACCUGCCCAUCAGAAGGGGAUAACACUUGGAAACAGGUGCUAAUACCGUAUAACAAUCGAAACCGCAUGGUUUUGAUUUGAAAGGCGCUUUCGGGUGUCGCUGAUGGAUGGACCCGCGGUGCAUUAGCUAGUUGGUGAGGUAACGGCUCACCAAGGCCACGAUGCAUAGCCGACCUGAGAGGGUGAUCGGCCACAUUGGGACUGAGACACGGCCCAAACUCCUACGGGAGGCAGCAGUAGGGAAUCUUCGGCAAUGGACGAAAGUCUGACCGAGCAACGCCGCGUGAGUGAAGAAGGUUUUCGGAUCGUAAAACUCUGUUGUUAGAGAAGAACAAGGAUGAGAGUAACUGUUCAUCCCUUGACGGUAUCUAACCAGAAAGCCACGGCUAACUACGUGCCAGCAGCCGCGGUAAUACGUAGGUGGCAAGCGUUGUCCGGAUUUAUUGGGCGUAAAGCGAGCGCAGGCGGUUUCUUAAGUCUGAUGUGAAAGCCCCCGGCUCAACCGGGGAGGGUCAUUGGAAACUGGGAGACUUGAGUGCAGAAGAGGAGAGUGGAAUUCCAUGUGUAGCGGUGAAAUGCGUAGAUAUAUGGAGGAACACCAGUGGCGAAGGCGGCUCUCUGGUCUGUAACUGACGCUGAGGCUCGAAAGCGUGGGGAGCAAACAGGAUUAGAUACCCUGGUAGUCCACGCCGUAAACGAUGAGUGCUAAGUGUUGGAGGGUUUCCGCCCUUCAGUGCUGCAGCUAACGCAUUAAGCACUCCGCCUGGGGAGUACGACCGCAAGGUUGAAACUCAAAGGAAUUGACGGGGGCCCGCACAAGCGGUGGAGCAUGUGGUUUAAUUCGAAGCAACGCGAAGAACCUUACCAGGUCUUGACAUCCUUUGACCACUCUAGAGAUAGAGCUUCCCCUUCGGGGGCAAAGUGACAGGUGGUGCAUGGUUGUCGUCAGCUCGUGUCGUGAGAUGUUGGGUUAAGUCCCGCAACGAGCGCAACCCUUAUUGUUAGUUGCCAUCAUUCAGUUGGGCACUCUAGCAAGACUGCCGGUGACAAACCGGAGGAAGGUGGGGAUGACGUCAAAUCAUCAUGCCCCUUAUGACCUGGGCUACACACGUGCUACAAUGGGAAGUACAACGAGUCGCGAAGUCGCGAGGCUAAGCUAAUCUCUUAAAGCUUCUCUCAGUUCGGAUUGUAGGCUGCAACUCGCCUACAUGAAGCCGGAAUCGCUAGUAAUCGCGGAUCAGCACGCCGCGGUGAAUACGUUCCCGGGCCUUGUACACACCGCCCGUCACACCACGAGAGUUUUAACACCCGAAGUCGGUGAGGUAACCUUUUGGAGCCAGCCGCCUAAGGUGGGAUAGAUG
rnacentral:rRNA from 1 species